rnacentral:tRNA from 1 species
GCCCGGGUGGCGAAAUAGGUAGACGCAAGGGACUUAAAAUCCCUCGGCCGUGAGGCUGUACCGGUUCGACUCCGGUCCCGGGCA